GUACCCUCUAGGUCUCCUUCCCCUAUAGAUGGAGGUUUGCCUGCAGGUCCUCUCUGGGCUCUCCUUCCCCUAUAGAUGGAGGUUUGCCUGCAGGUCCUCUCUGGGCUCUCCUUCCCCUAUAGAUGGAGGUUUGCCUGCAGGUCCUCUCUGGGCUCUCUUUCCCCUAUAGAUGGAGGUUUGCCUGCAGGUCCUCUCUGGGCUCUCCUUCCCCUAUAGAUGGAGGUUUGCCUGCAGGUCCUCUCUGGGCUCUCCUUCCCCUAUAGAUGGAGGUUUGCCUGCAGAUCCUCUCUAGGUCUCCUUCCCCUAUAGAUGGAGGUUUGCCUGCACGUCCUCUCUGGGCUCUCCUUCCCCUAUAGAUGGAGGUUUGCCUGCAGGUCCUCUCUGGGCUCUCCUUGUGUAGCAUACUUUGUUCCUUGUAGUAGUGGUACACUUGCACUAAAUGUACCUAUAUGCAUAUAUGCUGUAAAAAUGUCAAAUGCAUUAUAGAUUAGAACUUCUGCAGAUAGGUACUCUUUUCUUGUUUUCUUUUUUGUUUGUUGAGACAGGAUUUCUCUGUGUAUCCCUGGUUUUCCUUGAACUCACUCGGUAGACCAGGCUGGCCUUGAACUCAGAGGUCUUCCUGCUCAGCCUUCUAAGUGCUGCAUCUAAGAGCUUGCUGCUGUUACCAACUUGCAGAUAGAUUUUUCAAGGACAGAGUAAUCAGAUUGCCUGCUAGGUGAUAUGCAGUGUGCUGAAACAUACUAAUUCCAAGAUUAUUACUGGCGGUCAGGUUGCAGUUGACAUGAGUCUUCCCAGAGCUCUCCAGCUUGCUAGAUGCUGCUGAGCCCAGCACGUUCUAUGAUCCCUGGUGAGAAGUCAAAGGUCUUAGGGGACAUGGUAGUACGGUAUUACAGCUCAGUGAGAUAGCAGUCCCCGGGAAAUCUGAAUCACUAGUGAGGGUCGAAAGAAUAUAAAGGCAUGAGAGGUACUUAGAGCACCGGGAUGUAACUUAGUAAUAGAGGCACACAGCCCUGGAUUGUUCCACAGCAUCAUAGAAAAGUGGUUUUCUAUAAGUGAGUGGGUAGCUAGGUGCAGAGAGACAGAGAUUAGGAAGAGAAGAAAAGAAUGUCAUAAGCAGGGAAAACACAGGGACCAUGGGCGUGUAUCUAUGUGUGCCUGGGAAGCUGGAUGCUUGAAAGGCAUAAAGGAAGACUGGGGUCGUAGCUGGAGGAGGCCAGGUGAGGAAGACAUUUAUGGACAUGAAACUGAUGAUCUUCCACACACGAUGGUGCAUGGGGCGGGGUGGAUGGGUGAGAGGGUGGCGCAUAGGCAAGAAGAUCAAACCAAGUCCAAGGCCAGCCUGCUCUACAGAGCAAGUUCCAAGCCAGCUGGGGCUGCACAGCAAGACCCGACUUCAAAAAACUCAGCCAAACAAAGGAAAAUGAAAGGGGACGAGUGUUAUUUGUCAGUCUCUGUCACGUCGUGGCAGAGUUUUAAGGCAGGUGCUGGCAUGAGCAGUGUUUUGUGAAGAUCAGUCUGGUAACUGGGAAGGAAAGAAUGCAGUAGAGAACGGAGCAGGAGUUGACUGUUACAAAAGGCCACGUGUUGGAUGGUCCCAUUGGUCUAGAAUGUCUAGAAUAGGCAGAUCAUUAGGAAGGUAAAUAUGUGAUGGUUGGGGUUUGGAAGUUGAUGGCUUCUUUCAGGGUUGGUGAAGACGGUGUAAACUAAGAUACGAGUGUGGUCUAAUACUGCCCAUAAGCCGGGUGGGUGUUGCAGCAGUGUGUAGAGGGAGAGACACGCUGCACAGGUGUGAACUGGAAACUCGGAUGGGGUCUAGGUAGGUGAACACCAAGGGAAAGCCAUUGGGAUCAAGCAGUAAGGCAAAGGUGCAGAGAGCAGGUGCCCGAUGGAGCCUCUAUGCUGUCCACGCCUGAGAUCUGUCGCUUGGCUGAUGGCAGAGGUGGUUUCAUAAUCCUGUGAAAUUAGUAAUUCAGUAAAUCCAAGGAAGACAACCUUUUUGUUUUUGCCACAUUCGUGUAUGGUGCCUGUAAAACUGCCAAGCUGAGCUUGGAGCUCGUGGGUGGGUGGGUGACAGCACGGUGGGACUGGAGCAUCUCAGGCUGCCCGGGACCUGAGAGGAAGUCACUAGCUUGGUAAGAAACAUCUGGAAUAGAGUGCUCGUAGAGAUACCAGGGGCCAGCAACUUCAGGAACUAGUAAGUGACUGAAGUAAGAAGCCAUUGGUGACCACAGGUGAGAAAAUGGGAACAUGGGGACUGCGUCCAAAGCACAGUGAAGGAGAGCCAGAAAGAGAUUUCAGGAUUGAUCAUGAGCAGUUGUGUGAGCAGUCUUAUCGUGGAAUGGGUGCGCAUUGCAGAUAAAGUCACUGCCGUUAGUCUGCUAUAGCGAUGACGUGCACGCGGGUACAUUGCUAACACUGAUGAACUACAUGGUAAACUGAGUGGUCCACGUGCACCACCUCCAGUCCCUGCCGCCGCCCUUCAAGGAAGGCAUUAUUCUUUGCUUCCACUUACAGAUAUGAACACUUGGGGGACAGAGUCUGCCCUGCUGUGGGUCCAGGCAGUCGCAGGCCAGCGUCUGUUACACAGCUAGAAGGAAGCAGAGACGGCACUGAUCUCCGCCUCCUCCCACUGGUGCUGGGAGUAAGAUCGAGGCCUCGUUCAUAUUUACGUACUCUUAUUAAAUGUAGAGCCAAGUUGGGCAUAGUGAAGCAGGCCCCAAGUUCCAGCACUCGGGAGGCAGAUGCAGGCAGAUCUCCAAGUUCAAGGCCGGCUCAGUCUACCUAGUAAGUUCUAGGACAGCCAGAACUAUGUAGAGAGACCCUGUCUCAAAAGGGAGGGACUUUGAAAUAGCUCUGUGAGUACAGCUGUGGGCUCAGGCCUGGUGACCUGAGGCUGAUGCCCAGGAUUUGGGGAAAGGAGGAAGGAAGAGCUGAGCUCUGCUGAGCAGUCCUCUGUGUCCACGUGCUCUGUGGCAUGUACCAUCCCCCACCUGACACAUACUGGGCGUGGCAGCUCACACCUGUAAUCCAGUACUCAGGAGGCAGGAUUACCAGCCACAGGAGGCCAGCCUGGGCUUCAGAUGAAGACUCUGUCUCAAAUACUAUGGAAGUAUUUAUUUAUCUUAUGAUAAUCAUGCCACCCGUUAUAAUAAAUACUUCAUUAUAGAUCUUCUUACCUAGCAUUUCACUGACCAGUUAGGUUUGUUUUCUAAUGUCAAGAUGCCCUCUUCUGGACAUCUGUUGUACUGAAGACUUUUAACUUUGAUUUUGUGGAAAUAAUUCUGAAUACAUCCUGUGCUCAUAGACAUUAGCCCAGGUAGAGUGGUCCAAACAGGACAGACAGGGUCCCUGGGUUCCUAAAACAGGCUCGUAGCUGGGAAAAGCUAGGUGGUUUGGGACCUCGCAAAGGAGACUGGCAUGGAUGAAGGUGGCAAGCGGAGCAGUUCUCCAUGUCUUCACAGCCAAGAUCAGAGACUUUGCUUUGUUGGAGAAUGUUGGUAUAGUUUCCAAUCAUUUAGGGUUGGUAGCUAAUUGGCCCACAACUGUUACACAAACAUGUCCUGAUCUGCCUUGAACUUGUCUUGCAGUCUGGAGGGUGAGGAAGAUGCCAGCCAUCUUGGAAACUCACCACCUUUAUUACCUACAUAUGGUCCCUCUCCCAUCUGCCCACCUACCGAGGUACUUGUCAAACUCCCUGUCCCUCGUGUGGACAUCAUGACCGUAUGUGGGGACUGCAGUGCCCUGGGGCUCUUGUGCUCAUUCUGUGUGGGUGAGAAGAGGCUGAGGGUGGGAGGGGCUGAGGAGAGCCUGUCAUGUUCGCGCCCAUCUUCCUUUGUGAAAGACCGAACUGCUCAGUGUUGCCUAAGCUCUGUGCUUCAGUUCCUUAUCACUAACAUUUUACAUGAAGGUGUGGAGUUUACCAAUCAUCUAGAGAGAAUCCAAGUACUUAACUUUCCCCAGACAGAGCCGGAGGCCCCGCAGUCUCAUUCGGGCUGGCCCUGCUAGGGAUGUGGCCUGUGGCCUCCGCCUCUAUGUGAAACACUCCAGCAAUACUCCAGGCCCCCUGUGCUUCAGAGGCGUCGCCAGUCAGUGCCGGGAGGACAGGCCUUAGCUGCCUCUCCCUCGGCUACAGCCUGAUCUCAGCCUUCCAACUAGAGGCUGUAACGUCUGGAAACGUUAAGUCAGCACAGCGAGGGCAGCGUUUGAAUCUAACUUGUCCACUUAUGUGUCUGCUGCGAAUGCUCGCCCCCUAUGCUCGCCCCCUGUGCUCGCCCCCUGUGCUUGCCCAGGUGGAGCGUAACUUCCUCUGGAGCCCAGGGUCUGAGCAGAAGAGCUCACUCUUGUCUCUCCACAGCAGUGCUUAGGAGAGGAGAAAGGCUUGUGUAAUGAAAAACUCAUUUAUCUUCUAAAUCGGGUUCCGGUAUUGACAGAUCAAUAUUUGUUCUGUAUAUCUGAUAUUUAUUUAGAAAUGAUAAGGAAGUACUGAUCCUCCUGUGUGGACAAUUUAUCAAACCUUGACAUGUGUGCUUCCUGUGGCCCAGGAAUCACUGCACAGAAAGGACAAAUAUUUAUUCCUCACAGCAGUUACGUUUUUUUUCUCAUCACCGUAGUUACUGCCGAUGCAAAACACAGCUCUCACCUCAAAAAGAGUAAGGUGUUCUGGAGCCAAACAUGAGCGACCGAACAUAGAUUAGGUUACUCCACACUCCACGCUCCCGACUGGGGAUGCUCGGUGAGUGUUUACAGUAGCAGAGCAUUCUUAAAGCACUGCUUUUCAGAGGCAUUAGAAACAUCAGGGGCGUAGGUUAAAGCAAAGGGAGGAAAUGAGGCUCCAGGCCUUGCGCCACCCGAGGGCAUUCGCAGCCCCUUGGUGGGUGGUAUUGGUACACUGAGGAGCAGUUACCUAAGUCACAAGAUACCAGCUCACACACAGAAGAGGAACAGUGACCCAGGUAAUUUGGUUCUGGCUUGUAACAUUCUUCCUUCAAUACAAGUAAGGUAAAAAGGGGCUGGAGAGACUGCUCAGAGGUUAAGAGCACUGACUGCUCUUCCAGAGCUCCUGAGUUCAAUUCCCAGCAACCACAUGGUGGCUCCAGCCAUCUGUAAUGGGAUCCGGUGCCCUCUUCUGGUGUGUCUGAAGACAGCGGCAGUGUACUCAUACACAUAAAAUAAGUAAUUCUUAAAAACAAAAGACCUAAAAACAAACAAGGUAAAAGGAGCGAGGCAUUGUUCUGAAGGGCUCGGGGAAGUGCCAUCUGUGAAGGACCUUAAGGAGUUCAGUCCUCAAAGGAAAAUAACAAAUUUAGUUAAUUAAAUUAAUAAAUCUUAUCCUUUUUCAUUCUGUGUGGAUAUGUUCUCUGAGUGUAUAACUGUGCAGCAGGAACGUGCCUGGUGCCCACCGAGGCCAGAGAGCAUCAGAGUCCCUGAAAGUGGACAAGUACAGCCAGUGCUCUGAACCACUGAGCCAUCUCUCAGGUCCAGGUUAACAAGUCUUACAGUAGGCAUGGAAGCGCAUCUGUAUUACCGUACUGGGAAUGCUGGACAGAGGGCCACGUCUCAAAGGAGCAGCAAGAGUAAUAAAUCUUGGUCAAGUAACGGAGAAAAAGAACAUGAGUUAAUACAGGUUAAGGAGAAAAAAGUCCUGCGGUUAGGUAAAGAUGAAGAAAUGCCGCAGAGGUAAAACCACAGCGUGAAUUGGCAACACGGAGGAAGAGACCCAGAACUUCCCAGGCCCUGCUUUCUUUCUUAAAAAUACAUUAAAAGGAAAAUUUGUUUGUAUGUUUUAUUUAUAUUUUAUAUUUCUUUGUACAUAUUGUUAGGGGUCAGCCAUUUCUAAUGAUAACAGAUAUCCAACCCAGCCUUCAGAGCGUUUUCUGUCCUGCUUCAGACUUUACUUGUGCUGUGACCAUGUUCAUUAUAAUAGCAAAGGAUAAAAAACCUUGUUUAAAAACAACAACAACAACAAAACAAUCUUAUUCCAAGCAUUCCAGUAACCUUUUUCUUUUGUGUAUAUGCUGUACUAUAAAGUAGUUGGUUUGUAUGAGAUGGUUAAAAAAGCCAAAGAGAAAAAGAUUAUUUUUCCUUUCCUUUUCUUUUUUUUUUUUUUUUGUCUAUGAAGUUGCUGUUUGUUUGUCUGUCUGUCUGUCUGUCUGUUUGUUUGGCCUGUUUGAUGUAUGUGUGAAACAAUGUCCAACAAUAAACUGGAAUUUUAUUUUGCUGAGGUGUUCUGAAAAAAAAAAAAAGAAAGAAAAAGAAAUGCCCCAGAUUUCACCCUUAAAAAAAUCCAACAAAAGAG